rnacentral:rRNA from 1 species
CAUUAGUGAAUUGUGAAGGCUGUUGCUGGCCAUAAUGGCAUGUGCACGCCUUUUGCUUUCUUUCCACCUGUGCACUCUUUGUAGGCGCGAGUCUAUGAUUUUACAAACACAAUGUAUAAUAUGUUGGUUGGCUCUAAUACAAUACAACUUUCAACAAUGGAUCUCUUGGUUCUCGCAUCGAUGAAGAACGCAGCGAAAUGCGAUAAGUAAUGUGAAUUGCAGAUCUCAGUGAAUCAUCGAAUCUUUGAACGCACCUUGCGCUCUUUGGUAUUCCAAAGGGCAUGCCUGUUUGAGUGUCAUUAAAUUCUCAAAGCAUUGCUUUGGAUAUGAAGAUUGCUGGCAUAGUCAGCUUCUUUGAAAUGCAUUAGUGGGAUCAUGCUGGUGUGAUAACUAUUAUCACCAAAUCAACAUCCUGCUUAGAACACUCCAUUUGACAUUUGACCU